rnacentral:rRNA from 1 species
UACGAAGGGGGCUAGCGUUGCUCGGAAUGACUGGGCGUAAAGGGCGCGUAGGCGGAUGGCACAGUCAGAUGUGAAAUUCCCGGGCUUAACCUGGGGGCUGCAUUUGAUACGUGUUGUCUUGAGUUCGGAAGAGGGUCGUGGAAUUCCCAGUGUAGAGGUGAAAUUCGUAGAUAUUGGGAAGAACACCGGUGGCGAAGGCGGCGAGCUGGUCCGAUCUGACGCUGAGGCGCGAACGCGG